GUGGUGACCUGCGGAAGGAUCAUUA
rnacentral:rRNA from 1 species